GACGAACGCUGGCGGCGUGCUUAACACAUGCAAGUCGAACGGAAGGGCCCUGCUUUUGUGGGGUGCUCGAGUGGCGAACGGGUGAGUAACACGUGAGUAACCUGCCCUUGACUUUGGGAUAACUUCAGGAAACUGGGGCUAAUACCGGCUAGGAGCGCCUGCUGCAUGGUGGGGGUUGGAAAGUUUCGGCGGUUGGGGAUGGACUGGCGGGUUAUCAGCUGGUUGGUGGGGUAGUGGCUUACCAAGGGUUCGACGGGUAGCCGGCCUGGGAGCGGGAACAGGGACCAGAGUCCUACGGUACGGCCCAGUGGCCUAUGGUGGGCAGCGGGGGGGAAUAUGGCACAGUGGGCGGGAGCGUGUUGCAGAAGCCCCCCGUGCGUGAAGACGGCUUUCGGGUGGUAAACCGCAGUAGCCUGUGACGAAGCGUGAGUGACGGUAAUGGGUAAAGAAGCACCGGCUAACUACGUG
rnacentral:rRNA from 1 species